rnacentral:sRNA from 14 species
GGAGCAGCAACGAUGUUACGCAGCAGGGCAGUCGCCCUAAAACAAAGUUAGCCGAGAGGAGAAACUAUGUCUGCAAA